UCUUCUCAGAUAGCCGGCCAUCUAAAUAAAGCGCCCAUAAAAGAUUCAAUCACUGUCAUUGCUUAUUGGAUUUGGUAGUGACAGGCAACCCGAAUGCCAGUGUCUUUUCCGGUUACCUAAGGAACAUUCUUAUAAUGAACUUACCAUC